UGGGGAAUAUUGGACAAUGGGGGGAACCCUGAUCCAGCCAUGCCGCGUGUGUGAAGAAGGCCUUAUGGUUGUAAAGCACUUUAAGCGAGGAGGAGGGUACUGGUAUUAAUACUACCAGCUACUGGACGUUACUCGCAGAAUAAGCACCGGCUAACUCUGUGCCAGCAGCCGCGGUAAUACAGAGGGUGCAAGCGUUAAUCGGAAUUACUGGGCGUAAAGCGCGCGUAGGUGGUUCGUUAAGUUGAAUGUGAAAGCCCCGGGCUCAACCUGGGAACUGCAUCCAAAACUGGCGAGCUAGAGUAGGGCAGAGGGUGGUGGAAUUUCCUGUGUAGCGGAGAAAUGCGUAGAUAUAGGAAGGAACACCAGUGGCGAAGGCGACCACCUGGGCUCAUACUGACACUGAGGUGCGAAAGCGUGGGGAGCAAACAGG
rnacentral:rRNA from 1 species